GGGGUUGUGGCUCAAUGGUAGAGCACCUGCCUUGUAUGCAGAAGGUCCAAGGUUCUGUCUAUUGCGUCUCUA
rnacentral:tRNA from 1 species